rnacentral:rRNA from 1 species
AUGGCCAUUCCUCCUAAGAAUGCUCUCUACUCCCUGCUGCUUGUCUCCAGCUUCAUCCUUGGAGCCAUGGCGGUUCCAUCCAUUUCAUGCCCCGCUCGCUGUGAAAAGGAGCUAAAAUGGACCUUGUACGCGCGCCAGAUCGGUGGGAAUCAACCAAACGCGAACCAGGAAGAGAUGGUUCCCUCCAAGCACCCCGCCACGAGGUUUGGUUCCAUCGUCGUCAACGACUGGCCCGUGCUCGACGCACCUCUGCCCAACGCAACCAUAGUUGCUCGUGCAAGAGGCACGCACACCAAGGCUGGCCCAGCCGCGGGUGACUGGUUCGCUUCUCUCAGCAUAGUGUUUGAGGGAAACAGGUUCAAUGGAUCUACCUUUCAAGUCAUGGGGAUCACCGAUACAGAUGGUGAGUGGGCUAUUGUUGGUGGUACCAAAGAAUUGUUCAGGGCAGAUGGCACCAUCAAUCACACGAUAUUCAGGAGGACGGCCUCUGAGAACUAUAGACAGCUUGAUAUUCAUGCAUUCUAUACCCCUCGAGCGGUUGAUGCAAAUGGUAUUGCUGCCCAGUAA